rnacentral:rRNA from 1 species
ACUCAAAGGAAUUGACGGGGGCCCGCACAAGCGGUGGAGCAUGUGGUUUAAUACGUCACUAACCGUAGAACCUUACCCAGGCUUGACAUCUGGGGAAUCCUGGUGAAAGCCGGGAGUGCUGUUUACAGAGCUCCAAGACAGGUGUUGCAUGGCUGUCGUCAGCUCGUGUCGUGAGAUGUUGGGUUAAGUCCCGCAACGAGCGCAACCCUCAUCCGAUGUUGCCAGCGAGUAGUGUCGGGAACUCUUCGGAAACUGCCCGUGUAAGCGGGAGGAAGGUGGGGAUGACGUCAAGUCAGCAUGGCCCUUAUGCCUGGGGCUACACACAUGCUACAAUGGACGUGAACAAAGGGCAGCAAGACCGCGAGGUGGAGCUAAUCUCAAAAAUACGUCCUCAGUUCGGAUUGUAGUCUGCAACUCGACUACAUGAAGUCGGAAUCGCUAGUAACCGCAGGUCAGCUAAACUGCGGUGAAUACGUUCCCGGGCCUUGUACACACCGCCCGU